GUCUAUGGCCACACCACCCUGAACUCACCCAAUCUCAGAAGCUAAGCAGGGAUGGGCCUGGUUAGUACUUAGAUGAGAGAAAAAGUAUUUCAGGUGCCUAAGAUA
rnacentral:rRNA from 1 species